AUUGAACGCUGGCGGCAGGCCUAACACAUGCAAGUCGAGCGGGGUUUUCGGACCUAGCGGCGGACGGGUGAGUAAUGCGUAGGAAGCUGCCCGAUAGAGGGGGAUACCAGUUGGAAACGACUGUUAAUACCGCAUAAUGUCUACGGACCAAAGUGUGGGACCUUCGGGCCACAUGCUAUCGGAUGCGCCUACGUGGGAUUAGCUAGUUGGUGAGGUGAUGGCUCACCAAGGCGACGAUCUCUAGCGGGUUUGAGAGGAUGAUCAGCCACACUGGAACUGAGACACGGUCCAGACUCCUACGGGAGGCAGCAGUGGGGAAUAUUGGACAAUGGGCGCAAGCCUGAUCCAGCCAUGCCGCGUGUGUGAAGAAGGCCUUCGGGUUGUAAAGCACUUUCAGCGAGGAGGAAGGGUGGUGUGUUAAUAGCACAUCAUUUUGACGUUACUCGCAGAAGAAGCACCGGCUAACUCUGUGCCAGCCGCCGCCGUAAGAC
rnacentral:rRNA from 1 species